CCGACAUCAAGGCCAGAAGCAUAAAGUGCCCUCAACUACUGGCUCUUCACCCACUGGUUAAUUCCACCACUUAUUCAUGCAAUAAUACUUCAAAGCCCCUGAGUUCUUCCUCCCACUCCUCCUGGAAAACCUGCCUCCCCAGUUUUUACCUGCAUCACUAUUUUUUGGAAUCACAGAAGUCAUGUCUAGGAAGAAAAACUUCUAGAAGGAAGCUGUUCAAAUUGUAGAAUAGUUCUCAUCUGCAACUCAG
rnacentral:lncRNA from 1 species